CUACGGGCGGCUGCAGUGGGGAAUAUUGGACAAUGGGGGAAACCCUGAUCCAGCAAUGCCGCGUGUGUGAAGAAGGCCUGCGGGUUGUAAAGCACUUUCGGGUGGGAGGACUGCUUCUAGCACUAAUAUUGUUGGAAGUUGACGUUACCUUCAGAAGAAGCACCGGCUAACUCCGUGCCAGCAGGCCGCGGUAAUACGGAGGGUGCAAGCGUUAAUCGGAAGUACUGGGCGUAAAGCGCGCGUAGGCGGCUAGAUCAGUCGGGUGUGAAAGCCCCGGGCUUAACCUGGGAACUGCAUCCGAUACUGUCUAGCUUGAGUACAGGAGAGGAGAGUGGAAUUCCACAUGUAGCGGUGAAAUGCGUAGAUAUGUGGAGGAACACCAAUGGCGAAGGCAGCUCUCUGGCCUGAUACUGACGCUGAGGUGCGAAAGCGUGGGGAGCAAACAGGAUUAGAUACCCUAGUAGUC
rnacentral:rRNA from 1 species